rnacentral:lncRNA from 1 species
CGUGUUCUUUUUGAUAGUGGCCAUGUGGCUGGUAGCUGGCCAUGGAUUGCUGUUUUUUUAUUGUGUGUUUUACUUUUAUGACAAAUAAUCUGGAUAUAUAUAUAUGUAAAAGGGGAGGUUUGUAUUUGGUACAAACAAAAAAAUUAAAGGUACCCAUGAUUUUGAUCUUACACCAAAUACUGUAGUCUAUGUGGACCAUGCCUUGUUGGUUGUUUCCUUUGUUUGUACAACUUUUGUCAGAGAAAUUGUUUGUUAUUUAAUUUCUG